rnacentral:rRNA from 1 species
UACGUAGGGUGCAAGCGUUGUCCGGAAUUAUUGGGCGUAAGAGCUCGUAGGCGGUUUGUCGCGUCGAAUGUGAAAACCCGGGGCUCAACCCCGGGCCUGCAUUCGAUACGGGCAGACUAGAGUUCGGUAGGGGAGUCUGGAAUUCCUGGUGUAGCGGUGAAAUGCGCAGAUAUCAGGAGGAACACCGGUGGCGAAGGCGGGACUCUGGGCCGAUACUGACGCUGAGGAGCGAAAGCGUGGGGAGCAAACAGG